rnacentral:rRNA from 1 species
UACGUAGGGUCCAAGCGUUAAUCGGAAUGACUGGGCGUAAAGGGUGCGCAGGCGGUUUUGGAAGACAGAUGUGAAAUCCCCGGGCUUAACCUGGGAACUGCAUAUGUGACUGCAAGGCUAGAGUGUGUCAGAGGGGGGUAGAAUUCCACGUGUAGCAGUGAAAUGCGUAGAGAUGUGGAGGAAUACCGAUGGCGAAGGCAGCCCCCUGGGACGAUACUGACGCUCAUGCACGAAAGCGUGGGGAGCAAACAGG